UGGGGAAUUUUGGACAAUGGGCGCAAGCCUGAUCCAGCAAUGCCGCGUGCAGGAAGAAGGCCUUCGGGUUGUAAACCGCUUUUGUCAGGGAAGAAACGAGUUUCUCUAAUACAGAGACUUAAUGACGGUACCUGAAGAAUAAGCACCGGCUAACUACGUGCCGGCAGCCGCGGUAAUACGUAGGGUGCAAGCGUUAAUCGGAAUUACUGGGCGUAAAGCGUGCGCAGGCGGUGAUGUAAGACAGAUGUGAAAUCCCCGGGCUCAACCUGGGAACUGCCUUUGUGACUGCAUAGCUAGAGUACGGUAGAGGGGGAUGGAAUUCCGCGUGUAGCAGUGAAAUGCGUAGAUAUGCGGAGGAACACCGAUGGCGAAGGCAAUCCCCUGGACCUGUACUGACGCUCAUGCACGAAAGCGUGGGGAGCAAACA
rnacentral:rRNA from 1 species